AGCAGACACAAACCUACAACUGAGAUAACAGCAGACGUUACAACCGUAGAAGUUACAACCGUAGAAGUUACAACAGUUGAAGUUACGACAGUAGAAGUUAGAACCGUAUAAGUUACAACAGUAGAAGUUACAACAGUAGACGUUACAAGAGAAGAAGUUACAACAGUAGAAGUUACAACAGUAGACGUUACAAGAGAAGAAGUUACAAAAAACCUAAUGAAAUAAAGACCAUGGAUAUUGAUGAUCAUAUAUACACCAACGAAACACCCAUCAAGCCCUGCAGGAAGGAUGGAGUUGGUGAUCAACUAUCAGUGUUUUAUCAGUGGUGGAAGAGAUACUCUGGAGCUGCUGCAGUGAGUCUGGGUCUGCUGUGUGUUCUCCUAUUGGCUGGGAUCAUAGGCCUGUUGCUCUACCAGAGAAACCAAUUGACCAGUUCCAACACCCUGACCAAAGAUAGAGAUCAGUUACAGACCAGCAACAACACCCUGACCAAAGAGAGAGACCAGCUACAGACCAGAUACAACACCCUGACCAAAG